GACCUCGAAGGAGUUGAAUGAGAUGAACAUGAACCUCGUGAAUGACCUCUACAAGCUGAUCAAGAAGUACCUCGCGCUCAGAAACAUUGUCCGUAGCUUGAGGACUGAGUUUAAGGACAGUAAAAUCUACCCUAUUCUGCCAAGGUAUUUUCUGCUGAAGGAUAUGGUGAAAGAUGCCACCCACCAUCCAGAUUACAAGGAGGUUUACCAUGAGUCUACAAUUCUUAAAGAUUAAUCUGAAAAUGAUGUUCUCAAGAUCAACUCAACUGUACACUGUUUAGUGUACUGUAUGCCGUACACUUGCUUCAAGAACAGGUUUUCUCAACAAAAGAUGGAGAAUAGUAACAGCCAGGGUUGUGUCAGCUGUAUAUCUCAACCUUCUUGAUUACAAAAUCCUAGAUAAUAAUAGCAUAAAAAAAAAAUUUGAGUUUUAGAAAAAUACCCGAUUUAUAAUUUUAAAGAUAUUUGCUUUUUCAUAAUUAAUUUGUUUAAUAUUGAUUAACAAAAUGCUGCCAGAUUAAGAUUAAAAAUGGUACCUAUCUCCCUUUGCUCUCAAUUCACUUUGAGCUGAGUGAGAUAAAAGUGCAGAUAAAUUCCCAUUACUCUUUAUGGCAUCCCUCUAACUAUCUUAAAUAAAUCCAUUAACCCCCCCCCCCCGGAAAAAAAUGUACAAUUGUUUAUUUUUAUAAAUAGUGAAGGGAGGAUGUGAUUGUUUUCAACCAAGACCUUGUAUCCCUCUCUUCUACAUGAAUUAAAUAUUUGAACCUUUCGUGAGAGACAUUUACCAGUGGAUAUCAAUCUGUCGUAAACAUAGAACUAAUUUUCAAUAUAUCUUUGGAACCCGAUUACGGGGAUUAGAUUGCCACAAAGUUUUAUUUUCUAUUCCCAAUAUAUUUGCAACCCGAUGUCGUAGACCUUUGAUA